GACGAACGCUGGCGGCGUGCUUAACACAUGCAAGUCGAACGGAAAGGCCCUGCUUGCAGGGUACUCGGGUGGCGAACGGGUGAGUAACACGUGGGUGAUCUGCCCUGCACUUCGGGAUAAGCCUGGGAAACUGGGUCUAAUACCGGAUAGGAGCCAUUUUUAGUGUGAUGGUUGGAAAGUUUUUUCGGUGUAGGAUGAGCUCGCGGCCUAUCAGCUUGUUGGUGGGGUAAUGGCCUACCAAGGCGGCGACGGGUAGCCGGCCUGAGAGGGUGGACGGCCACAUUGGGACUGAGAUACGGCCCAGACUCCUACGGGAGGCAGCGGUGGGGAAUAUUGCACAAUGGGCGCAAGCCUGAUGCAGCGACGCCGCGUGGGGGAUGACGGCCUUCGGGUUGUAAACUCCUUUCGCUAGGGACGAAGCUUUUUGUGACGGUACCUAGAUAAGAAGCACCGGCUAACUACGUG
rnacentral:rRNA from 1 species